GAGCGAAGCGGUUUGGAGGAAGCCUUCGCGGUGGAAUCCAAAUUGACUUAGCGGCGGACGGGUGAGUAACGCGUGGGUAACCUGCCUCAUACAGGGGGAUAACAGUUAGAAAUGGCUGCUAAUACCGCAUAGGCGCACAAUGCUGCAUGGCACAGUGUGAAAAACUCCGGUGGUAUGAGAUGGACCCGCGUCUGAUUAGGUAGUUGGUGAGGUAACGGCCCACCAAGCGACGAUCAGUAGCCGACCUGAGAGGGUGACCGGCCACAUUGGGACUGAGACACGGCCCAAACUCCUACGGGAGGCAGCAGUGGGGAAUAUUGGACAAUGGGGGAAACCCUGAUCCAGCGACGCCGCGUGAGUGAACAAGUAUUUCGGUAUGUAAAGCUCUAUCAGCAGGGAAGAAAAUGACGGUACCUGACUAAUAAGCCCCGGCUACCUACGUGCCAGCAGCCGCGGUAAU
rnacentral:rRNA from 1 species